rnacentral:piRNA from 1 species
GGAUCUGAUGUGGUUUCAAGAAGCCCA